AAAUACAUAUGUGGCAGAGUAUGGGCACCAAUGGAAGGAGAAGCCUUGGUCCUACCUAGGUUUGUCUCCCAGUUCAAGGGAAUUUCAAGGGGCAGAAUUAUGGUUAGAGAAGAAGGGAUUGUGAACAGGUAGUGAUCUUAUGGGCAGGAAAUUGAGAAAGGACAUAAUAUUUUAAAUGUAAAUAUAGACUCAUCCAGUUUAAAAACACUAUAAUUUGAUAAAAAUUUAAAAAAGAAAGAUUUAAAAGUAAAGAAAACUGCCAACUAAUCACACUUAUUUACUCAGAUCUCUAAAUUGGUAUUCAGAGUAAUACUAGUGGAAAGACAAAGAUGAUGAAGUCUCAACUAGAAGCACUUCUUUCUCCGAAAUAUCCGUGUCAGACACAAAAUGCACUAUAGGUAUCCAAAGCUUGGAGGAGUUUACUCUGAGCUAAGUACUCAAUACUUGUCUUUACCUCCUUCCUUAAGACCUUUUUCUUCUGGGCAAAAAGAAUAAAGGCCAUAGCUCUCAGAAAAACAACUGUGCCCUCUCAAAAUCUAUUCUUUGCAAUUAAGAAAUGAAUGAUAUAAACCCUUUGACAUUCAGGAACCAUAAGAACAGGGAAUUCCAGAUGCUUCUGUGACGCUUCCAGCUCUUGAUUCUCAUAUGUGUAAGUCUCAGAUCAAGUCUAUCUCUUCAGCGAUACCACUCCAACCCUUCCAAGGGCUCUCUGAACUUUUCAAAAUACCACUUAUUUCUUCAUUUUUUUCAUACAAAGACAGAAGGCCAGGUUCCUUCUUCACAUCUCUGAUCUCCUCAUCCUGUUUGUUCUCACUCCCAAAUGGCUGUUUACUCUGAAUUAGUGGCAAAUUAGCAAACCAGAGAGGUAAUGAGGUAAUAUGUGAGAGUCAGUUCCUGUCAGGACAAUAAUUGUUACAUCACAGAAGAAGCUAGGGCUCUCCUAGUUACAACAGAUUUUUCAUGGAGGUCCUAUUUAUGAUGUCACUGAGAACUGCCAUCUCCUACCUGCUAAACAGCUUUCCUUACAUUUACCAGAUUCGAGGGUGUCCUUUCCAGGAAUAAAGAAAAGGACUGUUUGCUGCACGAUCUCUUGAUAUCACGGAACAAUUCUUCCAACACUACAAAGUGAAAUCUCAUAAAGAAAUGGGUACCCGAAGCCACAGUUUCUUACCUUCUAUUUGGUUGUGCACACUGUGACCACCAUUUCAUUUUAACCAGGUUUAACGCAAAGCUUCUUUGAAGAUGUUCCCAUUUCCACCAACUCACUUCAACCUCAAUGCCCUGGCAUUACCCUACACUGGGGAAACAAGUCUUCACUGGAUUAAAGGAUUUUAAUUCCAAUCAUGCUGGACAGUGCAUUUCUCUGCCACACAUGUGGCUGGAAUCAUUGGUUCCUCAAA